GAAGAAAGUUGAGCGGGCGGACGAGCGCGGGAGCCGGCGCGGCACAGCGGCCCGGCGGGGCGAGGUGCUCUCACCUUUCAGCACGUAGCGCCUGCAACGCUGCAGAGAGAAGAGGCUUCAGUGGAAAAAUAAUGACCGGAUAAUAAAGAGCACUGAGGAGCUUUUCAAAUGACAUGGCACCCACUGCUCGGGCCGGGGCUUUGCAGGAACCUUGGCGAGGAACGUGGAGCUGGCCCUGAGCAGAGGGGGAUGAAGCAGAGCGGCUCCACUCGCCCAGCGCCCACACUCCAGCAUCCCCUCUCCGGGCAAAGCCGUGCACCCCGAACAGCUCCUCCACGGGUCAAGUCAGCAUUUGGCUCAGCAAAUCCAUGGAGAGGUUUGCUGGGGGCUUUCUGCAGUGUUUUAGUAGCUGCUGAUCCUCCCAGGGGGAUGCUUGAGCUCCAGGAUGCUCUGCCCUCCUUGAGCCCUGCUCCAUCCUUUGCUGGCCUGGAGUGCCCGAACCCUGCAGCAUCCCAAUCCCAACUCUCCCAUGGACCUACAAGGGCUCCACACCUGUGGGGCUUCAGAUUUUACUGUAGGGGUCAGAUUUUACUGCAGGGUUGAGGACCUAUAGGUUUCCUUGCGUUCCUCAUUAGGGCCUGCACAGGGACAGCACGUAGUUUCGCUCUUCCACAUUUCCCCAGCCCCUGCACCGCUGUCAUCUGGUUAAAGAAUUGCCAUUAAUUUUAGGGUAGGAAGGACCCAUUGUUUACUACGCGAUCAGGGAAAAGGGAAGGUUUUUGCUGCCAAUAAACUAUUUUUACCCGUAAUGCAGAUCCAGGAUGGCCAGCGAGGUGGCCGCAGUGUGGGAACAGCAGGCUGUUUGCAGCCCAAGCUGCAGCAUGGGGACAUCGGUCCCCAGUGACACCUUGGCCAGGACAGAGGCCAGUGCCAAGCCAGGCAGGAUUUUAGCACUGGCACAGCCUGGGAAUGCUUCACGGAGGUGGCAGCAGGGCUGGGCACAGCCCCGGAGUGCAGGGGCAGAGCUGGGCAGGCACCAGAAAGCAGGGGGGCAGCAGAGACCCCGACGUGCUGUGCACCACUUUCCGCACCCCGGCGCUCGCUUGGUCCCAGAGGCAGCGGUAGCCAGCAGCCCUGUCCCUUCCAGGAUGCAUUUCCAACAAAUCAUCCCCCCAAACACGCUGCUCGGUUCAAUUUAACAGGGAGAAGAGACACAGCCCAGCGCAGGACCUGCAGCGUGAAAUUAUUGCAGGGGAGGGAUAGCAGAGGUCCCUUCUGGCUUUAAAUAAUCCUAAAAAAUAGACGUCUCCGGAUUGCCUCCUGGCUCCUUCCAACAAGCUCGAUUUUGUCAGCAGGGGGAGGGAUGGAUGCCUGCUCAUUUACCCCCAUCCUCCGGCGGCGAGCCAGCAGUUUACACCUACGGCAGCAGCGGAGACCUCUCCGCCGAGCGUGCGCUCCCCGCGCCGCGUGCUCUAUAAAUACGUGUGCAUGACAGAUUUGGCACCGCGUAUUCCUGUAAGUGAUGUAAUCCCCGGGAAGUUACUUAGCAACCAUGGAAAAUGUUUUGGAGGCUCUAAUUUUUCAGUAUGGUAAAAUCGUAUAUUUAUGCAGUGCGGCUAAUCAGCUUGCUGGAAAGUCAGCGACGAUGAUCUCAUUUUCUUCAUCAUUAUUUUAUGUGAAUUGGGCUUUUAGCACUAAAGAGACCACAAAGAUUUAAUUCAAAAAUGUGAUUGCUUUAUGUUUCCAGGGUAUCAUUAACAUGGCAUCUACGCAAAUAACCAUGGUAACAAACUGGUAAUUAGUACAUAUAUGGCACUUAUUAUUAAUACAGAAACAGGACAAGCUCCAAAUCAGCGCAGAUUACAGUACAUUAUUACCAUAGUAAUUACCUGCAGUAACACACACAAAUUGAACUAAAUGGCCAAUUGAACUAGAGUGAAUGGCUUUUUAUUCCAGUCCCUAAAUAAUGUGCAUUCUUGGCUGAGUAGUUCAAGGUAAAUAAAACUGUUUUAAAUUUA